AUGAACGCUGGCGGCGUGCUUAACACAUGCAAGUCGAACGGUGAAGCAGAGCUUGCUCUGUGGAUCAGUGGCGAACGGGUGAGUAACACGUGAGCAACCUGCCCCUGACCCUGGGAUAAGCGCUGGAAACGGCGUCUAAUACUGGAUAUGAGCUGCGACCGCAUGGUCAGCAGUUGGAAAGAUUUUUCGGUCUGGGAUGGGCUCACGGCCUAUCAGCUUGUUGGUGAGGUAAUGGCUCACCAAGGCGUCGACGGGUAGCCGGCCUGAGAGGGUGACCGGCCACACUGGGACUGAGACACGGCCCAGACUCCUACGGGAGGCAGCAGUGGGGAAUAUUGCACAAUGGGCGAAAGCCUGAUGCAGCAACGCCGCGUGAGGGAUGACGGCCUUCGGGUUGUAAACCUCUUUUAGCAGGGAAGAAGCGAAAGUGACGGUACCUGCAGAAAAAGCGCCGGCUAACUACGUG
rnacentral:rRNA from 1 species